rnacentral:rRNA from 1 species
UACGUAGGGAGCAAGCGUUGUCCGGAAUCAUUGGGCGUAAAGCGCGCGUAGGCGGCCCUGUAAGUCCGCUGUGAAAGUCAAAGGCUCAACCUUUGAAAGCCGGUGGAUACUGCAGGGCUAGAGUCCGGAAGAGGCGAGUGGAAUUCCUGGUGUAGCGGUGGAAUGCGCAGAUAUCAGGAGGAACACCGGUGGCGAAGGCGGGUCUCUGGGCAACAACUGACGCUGAGGAGCGAAAGCGUGGGGAGCGAACAGG